AAGUCGUAACAAGGUUUCCGGAGGUGAACCUGCGGAAGGAUCAUCAACACGUAUCCAACGUUAAACCCCCGUUAAUAUUAACCGUGCUCACAUCCUUCCACAACAGCAAUCCCUGGUAAAUCAUGUCGAACGGUUUGAUUCAGAGACCUCUGGCUUGUGCGAUGACGGCGGAAGCUAAAGGUGUAAUCGAGCGCUAGGUUCAGUGGUUUGGUCUUCCCCUCAAACCACUUCAAUGAAUGUCAGUGUCAUUGAAGUGUGAUGGGGAAGUCGCUUAACGACGCUGUAGGCUCACACGAGCCGGCGUCCAAAUCACCAGGCGCAAGCCUCCCUAAAACCACAUGUCAGCGUAGGCCCUUCUGUCGUGGUUGGGCGUAAAAACGAACAACUGUUAACAAUGGAUAUCUUGGUUCUC
rnacentral:misc_RNA from 1 species